rnacentral:rRNA from 1 species
UACAGAGGGUGCAAGCGUUAAUCGGAAUUACUGGGCGUAAAGCGUGCGUAGACGGUUAUGUAAGUCAGAUGUGAAAGCCCCGGGCUCAACCUGGGAAUUGCAUUUGAGACUGCAUAGCUAGGGUGCGGAAGAGGGAAGCGGAAUUUCCGGUGUAGCGGUGAAAUGCGUAGAUAUCGGAAGGAACACCAGUGGCGAAAGCGACUUCCUGGUCCAGCACCGACGUUCAGGCACGAAAGCGUGGGGAGCAAACGGG